rnacentral:rRNA from 1 species
AUUGAACGCUGGCGGAAUGCUUUACACAUGCAAGUCGAACGGUAGAGGGGGCAACCCCUCGAGAGUGGCGAACGGGUGAGUAAUAUAUCGGAACGUGCCCAGUCGUGGGGGAUAACGUAGCGAAAGUUACGCUAAUACCGCAUACGAUCUAAGGAUGAAAGCGGGGGAUCGCAAGACCUCGCGCGAUUGGAGCGGCCGAUAACAGAUUAGGUAGUUGGUGGGGUAAAGGCUCACCAAGCCAACGAUCUGUAGCUGGUCUGAAAGGACGACCAGCCAAACUGGAACUGAGACACGGUCCAGACUCCUACGGGAGGCAGCAGUGGGGAAUUUUGGACAAUGGACGCAAGUCUGAUCCAGCCAUUCCGCGUGCAGGAUGAAGGCCCUCGGGUUGUAAACUGCUUUUGUACGGAACGAAAAGGUCUCUCUUAAUACGGGGGGCUCAUGACGGUACCGUAAGAAUAAGCACCGGCUAACUACGUGCCAGCAGCAGCCGCCG